rnacentral:rRNA from 1 species
CACGUACUGUGCGAACGUUAUUCGGAAUCACUGGGCUUAAAGGGUGCGUAGGCGGCGAUUCAAGUCAGAUGUGAAAUGCCUGAGCUCAACUGAGGCAUUGCGUUUGAAACUGAAUUGCUAGAGUAUUUCAGGGGUGUGCGGAACUGCCAGUGGAGCGGUGAAAUGUGUUGAUAUUGGCAGGAACACCGGAGGCGAAAGCGGCACACUGGGGAAUAACUGACGCUGAGGCACGAAAGCCAGGGGAGCGAACGGG